rnacentral:rRNA from 1 species
CCUACGGGAGGCAGCAGUGGGGAAUAUUGGACAAUGGGCGCAAGCCUGAUCCAGCAAUGCCGCGUGAGUGGUGAAGGCCUUAGGGUCGUAAAGCUCUUUUACCAGGGAUGAUAAUGACAGUACCUGGAGAAUAAGCUCCGGCUAACUCCGUGCCAGCAGCCGCGGUAAUACGGAGGGAGCUAGCGUUGUUCGGAAUUACUGGGCGUAAAGCGUACGUAGGCGGUUAUUCAAGUCAGAGGUGAAAGCCCGGGGCUCAACCCCGGAACGGCCUUUGAAACUAGGUAGCUAGAAUCUUGGAGAGGUCAGUGGAAUUCCGAGUGUAGAGGUGAAAUUCGUAGAUAUUCGGAAGAACACCAGUGGCGAAGGCGACUGACUGGACAAGUAUUGACGCUGAGGUACGAAAGCGUGGGGAGCAAACAGGAUUAGAUACCCUGGUAGUCCACGCCGUAAACGAUGAUAACUAGCUGUUCGGGCACUUGGUGCUUGAGUGGCGCAGCUACGACAUUAAGUUAUUACCGUCCGUCGGGUAGGUACGGUCGCGAAGAAUUAAAACUUAAAAGUAAAGUUAGUACGGCGUGAAACGUAGACCGAACGGACGACGACGAGGGAGGUAGG